rnacentral:rRNA from 1 species
CGGGGGGAGCAAGCGUUGUUCGGAUUUACUGGGCGUAAAGGGCGCGUAGGCGGCCACCGCAAGUCGACUGUGAAAUCUCCGGGCUUAACCCGGAAAGGUCAGCCGAUACUGCGGGGCUAGAGUGCAGAAGGGGCAACUGGAAUUCUCGGUGUAGCGGUGAAAUGCGUAGAUAUCGAGAGGAACACCUGCGGCGAAGGCGGGUUGCUGGGCUGACACUGACGCUGAUGCGCGAAAGCUAGGGGAGCGAACGGGAUUAGAUACCCCGGUAGUCCUAGCCUUAAACGAUGAAUGCUUGGUGUCUGGGGUUUUAUAGUCCCCUGGUGCCGUCGCUAACGCUUUAAGCAUUCCGCCUGGGGAGUACGGUCGCAAGACUG